GACGAACGCUGGCGGCGUGCUUAGCACAUGCAAGUCGAGCGGAGCGGCGAACGGGUGAGUAACGCGUGAGUAACUGCCCCCCUCUCUGGGAUAACAGUUGGAAACGGCUGCUAAUACCGGAUAGUGGGGGAUGACUCGCGUCCUAUCAGCUUUUUGGUGGGGUAGUGGCCUACCAAGGGGACGACGGGUAGCCGGCCUGGGAGGGGGACCGGCCAACUGGGGCUGAGGUACGGAGCGAACUCCUACGUGAGGCAUCAGUGGGGAAUAUUGCGCAAUGGGGGAAACUCUGAUGCAGCAACGCCGCGUGCGGGAUUACGGCCUUCGGGUUGGAAACCGAUUUCAGCCAUGACGCGUUAGUGGCAGAAGAAGCACCGGCUAACUACGUGCCAGCAGCCGCGGUAAUAC
rnacentral:rRNA from 1 species